rnacentral:rRNA from 1 species
UACGGAGGAUGCGAGCGUUAUCCGGAUUUAUUGGGUUUAAAGGGUGCGUAGGUUGUUUUUUAAGUCAGCGGUGAAAGUUUGUGGCUCAACCAUAAAAUUGCCGUUGAAACUGGAAGACUUGAGUGUGUUUGAGGUAGGCGGAAUGCGUGGUGUAGCGGUGAAAUGCUUAGAUAUCACGAAGAACCCCGAUUGCGAAGGCAGCCUGCCGCAGCGUUACUGACGCUGAAGCUCGAAAGCGCGGGUAUCGAACAGG